rnacentral:rRNA from 1 species
CAGUCCCCCGAGCAAAGCGCACUUUAGUUCAAGCCCCCGAAACUAAGUGAGCUACCCCGAGGCAGCUUAUUAAUUAGAGCCAACCCGUCUCUGUGGCAAAAGAGUGGGAAGACCUCCGGGUAGAGGUGAUAAACCUACCGAACUUAGUUAUAGCUGGUUGCCUAAGAAAUAAAUAGAAGUUUAGCCUCACACUCCUCAUCUCACAAACAAUUCUUAUUUUAAGAACUAGAGAAAUAUGCGAGAGUUAGUCAAAGGGGGUACAGCCCCUUUGAAACAGGAUACAACCUCCCCAGGAGGUUAAAGAUUAUACUAAAUAAGAUACACCGCUCCAGUGG